GCUGGGCGCAGUGGUACGUGCCUAUAGUCCCAACUACUCGGGAGGCUGAGGCUGGAGAAUCCCUUGAGUUCAGGAGUUCUGGGCUGUAGUGCGCUAUACCGAUCAGGUGUCUGCACUAAGUUCGGCAUCAAUAUGGUGACCUCCCGGGAGCAGGGGACCACCAGGUUGCCUAAGGAGGGGUGAACCAGCCCAGGUCGGAAACAGAGCAGGUUAAAACUCCCGUGCUGAUCAGUAGUGGGACUGUGCCUGUGAAUAGCCACUGCACUCUAGCCUGGGCAACAUAGUGAGACUCUGCCUCU
rnacentral:SRP_RNA from 1 species